GGAGAGGUGGCCGAGUGGUUUAAGGCGCACGCCUGGAAAGUGUGUUGGGUCGAAAGGCUCUCGCAGGUUCAAAUCCUGUCCUCUCCGCCA
rnacentral:tRNA from 1 species